AAGAGACGCAAAAUUGAGUCUUUGAAAACUGAAUGAUGAUGAACAAGAGAAAACAAAAAUAAGAGCUAAAAUCAAAACAAAACAUAAAUUAUAUGGAGAGUUUGAUCCUGGCUCAGGAUGAACGCUGGCGGCGUGCCUAAUACAUGCAAGUCGAACGAAGCAUCUUCGGAUGCUUAGUGGCGAACGGGUGAGUAACACGUAGAUAACCUACCUUUAACUCGAGGAUAACUCCGGGAAACUGGAGCUAAUACUGGAUAGGAUGUGUGCAUGAAAAAAACACAUUUAAAGAUUUAUCGGUUUAAGAGGGGUCUGCGGCGCAUUAGUUAGUUGGUGGGGUAAAAGCCUACCAAGACGAUGAUGCGUAGCCGGACUGAGAGGUCUACCGGCCACAUUGGGACUGAGAACGGCCCAAACUCCUACGGGAGGCAGCAGUAGGGAAUUUUCGGCAAUGGGGGAAACCCUGACCGAGCAACGCCGCGUGAACGACGAAGUACUUCGGUAUGUAAAGUUCUUUUAUAUGGGAAGAAAAAUUAAAAAUUGACGGUACCAUAUGAAUAAGCCCCGGCUAACUAUGUGCCAGCAGCCGCGGUAAUACAUAGGGGGCGAGCGUUAUCCGGAUUUACUGGGCGUAAAGGGUGCGUAGGUGGUUAUAAAAGUUUGUGGUGUAAGUGCAGUGCUUAACGCUGUGAGGCUAUGAAAACUAUAUAACUAGAGUGAGACAGAGGCAAGUGGAAUUCCAUGUGUAGCGGUAAAAUGCGUAAAUAUAUGGAGGAACACCAGUGGCGAAGGCGGCUUGCUGGGUCUAUACUGACACUGAUGCACGAAAGCGUGGGGAGCAAACAGGAUUAGAUACCCUGGUAGUCCACGCCGUAAACGAUGAGAACUAAGUGUUGGCCAAAAGGUCAGUGCUGCAGUUAACGCAUUAAGUUCUCCGCCUGAGUAGUACGUACGCAAGUAUGAAACUCAAAGGAAUUGACGGGACCCCGCACAAGCGGUGGAUCAUGUUGUUUAAUUCGAAGAUACACGAAAAACCUUACCAGGUCUUGACAUACUCUGCAAAGGCUUAGAAAUAAGUUCGGAGGCUAACAGAUGUACAGGUGGUGCACGGUUGUCGUCAGCUCGUGUCGUGAGAUGUUGGGUUAAGUCCCGCAACGAGCGCAACCCUUAUUGCUAGUUACCAUCAUUAAGUUGGGGACUCUAGCGAGACUGCCAGUGAUAAAUUGGAGGAAGGUGGGGAUGACGUCAAAUCAUCAUGCCCCUUAUGACCUGGGCUACAAACGUGAUACAAUGGCUGGAACAAAGAGAAGCGAUAGGGUGACCUGGAGCGAAACUCACAAAAACAGUCUCAGUUCGGAUUGGAGUCUGCAACUCGACUCCAUGAAGUCGGAAUCGCUAGUAAUCGCAAAUCAGCAUGUUGCGGUGAAUACGUUCUCGGGGUUUGUACACACCGCCCGUCAAACCACGAAAGUGGGCAAUACCCAACGCCGGUGGCCUAACCCGAAAGGGAGGGAGCCGUCUAAGGUAGGGUCCAUGAUUGGGGUUAAGUCGUAACAAGGUAUCCCUACGGGAACGUGGGGAUGGAUCACCUCCUUUCU
rnacentral:rRNA from 1 species